rnacentral:rRNA from 1 species
GCAUCGAUGAAGAACGCAGCCAGCUGCGUGAACUAAUGUGAAUUGCAGGACACAUUGAACAUCGACACUUUGAACGCAUAUUGCGGCCAAGGGUUUUCGUCUCUUGGCCACGCCCGUCUGAGGGUCGGC